UGUUUCUUCAACCAACCAAUGAUUUAUUGCUUCAUGACCAUGUUUUUAUGGAUAUCAGUUUAAUGGUUUUGUGGGUUGUGGAUUUUUCAGUUCACGAAGAAUAAGACGUAGAUCUGUUUAUGGGUUGUGGUUUUGAUUUCAAGUGAAGAAGAAAUUAGAAAUCUGCUUGUGGGUUUCAAGUGAAGAAGAAGAUGGAGAUCUGCUUGUGGGUUGUGGAUUCGAUUUCAAGCCAAGAAAAAGAUCUACUGAAGUAAAAGGUUCAUACUCAAAGUGUGGGUACGAUAAAGAGAAAGAGGAAUGAAG